rnacentral:rRNA from 1 species
GGGCCUAACACAUGCAGUCGAGCGGUAGCACAGAGAGCUUGCUCUCGGGUGACNAGCGGCGGACNGGUGAGUAAUGUCUGGGAAACUGCCUGAUGGAGGGGGAUAACUNCUGGAAACGGUAGCUAAUACCGCAUAACGUCGCAAGACCAAAGUGGGGGACCUUCGGGCCUCAUGCCAUCAGAUGUGCCCAGAUGGGAUUAGCUAGUAGGUGGGGUAAUGGCUCACCUAGGCGACGAUCCCUAGCUGGUCUGAGAGGAUGACCAGCCACACUGGAACUGAGACACGGUCCAGACUCCUACGGGAGGCAGCAGUGGGGAAUAUUGCACAAUGGGCGCAAGCCUGAUGCANCCAUGCCGCGUGUAUGAANAAGGCCUUCGGGUUGUAAAGUACUUUCAGCGAGGAGGAAGGCNUUAAGGUUAAUAACCUUAGNGAUUGACGUUACUCGCAGAANAANCACCGGCUAACUCCGUGCCAGCANCCGCGGUAAUACGGAGGGUGCNAGCGUUAAUCGGAAUUACUGGGCGUAAAGCGCACGCAGGCGGUCUGUUAAGUUCAGAAUUGUGAAAAUCCNCCGGGGCUNCAACCUGGCAAACUGCNAUUUGAAACUGGCCAGGCUUGAGUCUUGUAGAGGNGGGGUAGGAAUUUCCAGGUGUAGCGGUGAAAUGCGUAGAGAUCUGGAGGAAUUACCGGUGGCGAAAGCGGCCCCCNUGGACAAAGACUGACGCUCAGGUGCGAAAGCGUGGGGAGCAAACAGGAUUAGAUACCCCUGGUAGUNCNCGCCUGUAAACGAUGUCGACUUGGAGGUUGUUCCCUUGAGGAGUGGCUUCCCGGAGCUAACGCGUUAAGUCGACCGCCUGGGGAGUACGGCCGCAAGGUUAAAACUCAAAUGAAUUGACGGGGGCCCGCACAANCGGUGGAGCAUGUGGUUUAAUUCGAUGCAACGCGAAGAACCUUACCUACUCUUGACAUCCAGAGAACUUAGCAGAGAUGCUUUGGUGCCUUCGGGAACUCUGAGACAGGUGCUGCAUGGCUGUCGUCAGCUCGUGUUGUGAAAUGNUGGGUUAAGUCCCGCAACGAGCGCAACCCUUAUCCUUUGUUGCCAGCGNUUCGGNCGGGAACUCAAAGGAGACUGCCAGUGAUAAACUGGAGGAAGGUGGGGANGACGUCAAGUCAUCAUGGCCCUUACGAGUAGGGCUACACNCGUGCUACAAUGGCAUAUACAAAGAGAAGNGACCUCGCGAGAGCAAGCGGACCUCAUAAAGUAUGUCGUAGUCCGGAUUGGAGUCUGCAACUCGACUCCAUGAAGUCGGAAUCGCUAGUAAUNGUAGAUCAGAAUGNUACGGUGAAUACGUUCCCGGGCCUUGUACACACCGCCCGUCACACCAUGGGAGUGGGUUGCAAAAGAAGUAGGUAGCUUAACCUUCGGGAGGGCGCUACCACUUGGAUCGCUACAAUC